rnacentral:rRNA from 1 species
GAUGAACGCUGGCGGCGUGCCUAAUACAUGCAAGUCGAGCGAACAGACGAGGAGCUUGCUCCUCUGACGUUAGCGGCGGACGGGUGAGUAACACGUGGAUAACCUACCUAUAAGACUGGGAUAACUUCGGGAAACCGGAGCUAAUACCGGAUAAUAUAUUGAACCGCAUGGUUCAAUAGUGAAAGACGGUUUUGCUGUCACCUAUAGAUGGAUCCGCGCCGCAUUAGCUAGUUGGUAAGGUAACGGCUUACCAAGGCAACGAUGCGUAGCCGACUUGAGAGGGUGAUCGGCCACACUGGAACUGAGACACGGUCCAGACUCCUACGGGAGGCAGCAGUAGGGAAUCUUCCGCAAUGGGCGAAAGCUUGACGGAGCAACGCCGCGUGAGUGAUGAAGGUCUUCGGAUCGUAAAACUCUGUUAUUAGGGAAGAACAAAUGUGUAAGUAACUAUGCACGUCUUGACGGUACCUAAUCAGAAAGCCACGGCUAACUACGUG